UAAUUUAUUCGGAAUAGAUUUUUAUUUGGUUACAGUAUACUAAUAUUUUAAUGCUCACAAUUAUUUGAUAUUAUAAGCUAGCUACAUCAAUGACGUUGAAAAUAUGAACACAACUACUACUUGAAUAAUAAUUUUUUAAAAU
rfam:Populus trichocarpa isolate Nisqually-1 chromosome 1, whole genome shotgun sequence.